rnacentral:rRNA from 1 species
UACGUAGGGAGCAAGCGUUGUCCGGAAUCAUUGGGCGUAAAGAGCGUGUAGGCGGACCAGUAAGUCGGUUGUGAAAGUCCAGGGCUCAACCCUGGAAAGCCGGCCGAUACUGCUGGUCUAGAAUCCGGAAGAGGCGAGUGGAAUUCCUGGUGUAGCGGUGAAAUGCGCAGAUAUCAGGAGGAACACCGAUGGCGAAGGCAGGUCUCUGGGCCACUACUGACGCUGAGAAGCGAAAGCAUGGGGAGCGAACAGG